AGGAGGAAGAGGAGAAGAAGAAGAAGAAGAAGAAGAAGAAGAGGAUAGGACCGGACCGUGUAGCCAGACCAGACUCGUUUUUUAAUGUGUCGCUGGUCGGGCAGCAUUCCUUAAUCCACAAUGGAUACGCCUGUUAGUUUUGAUGGCAUGUAACGUAAGCAGGAUACUACUUCCUUGCCAAUCGGACGGACACAAACCAGAGCAGCGAUGGCCGGCGAAAAUGUGAGUGUGAUUUUCAAAGUGUACUGCCUGACAGUGAUGACACUGGUGGCAGCUACAUACACGGUGGCACUACGGUACACAAGGACCAUCUCAACAGGAGAUCUGUACUUCUCCACAACUGCAGUGUGUAUCACUGAGGUCAUUAAAUUAAUACUGAGUCUGGGGAUGCUUUCAAAAGAAACAGGAAGCCCUGUCAGACUGAAGAACGUCAUAGUGGAACAUAUAUUCUGCAGCCCAAAAGAGCUGCUGAAGCUGAGCGUGCCCUCGGUAGUGUAUGCAGUUCAGAAUAACAUGGCCUUUCUUGCCUUGAGUAACCUCGAUGCAGCCGUUUAUCAGGUGACCUAUCAGCUGAAGAUCCCGUGCACGGCCUUGUGUACAGUCCUCAUGCUGAGCCGCUCUCUCAGCCGGCUGCAGUGGUUCUCUGUCUUCACACUCUGCGGGGGCGUAACACUCGUCCAAUGGAAGUCUGCAGAGGCCACUAAAAUUCAGAUUGAGCAAAAUCCUUUUGUCGGGUUCAUGGCCAUUGCUAUUGCUGUCCUUUGCUCUGGAUUUGCAGGUGUGUACUUUGAGAAGGUGUUGAAGAGCUCAGACACGUCUCUGUGGGUGAGAAACAUCCAGAUGUACCUCUCCGGCAUUGUGGUCACCCUAAUCGGCGUUUACAUGAACGAUGGCAAUAAUGUCCUGGAGAAAGGCUUCUUCUUCGGUUACACACCCUGGGUGUGCUUUGUAAUAUUCUUGGCAAGUGUGGGUGGUCUGUACACGUCGGUGGUGGUGAAGUACACAGACAACAUAAUGAAGGGCUUCUCUGCUGCAGCCGCCAUUGUUCUCUCAACUGUGGCGUCUGUCAUCUUGUUUGGACUACAGAUAACGAUCCCGUUUGCCACUGGAGCCAUCCUGGUGUGUGUUUCCAUCUACCUAUACGGACUUCCAAAGCAAGACACAUCCAAGCUGAGCCGGCAAGACACAGACAAGGAAUCCAAACAGAGACUGAUCAAUGUCGGCUGAUGAAUACAGACCUGCAGAGUCGAGCAUGUGAGUACUGGAGGAAGACUCCUGUGUCUCCCUGAGCCUGCAGCAUCCUGUCCCAGUCAAACGAGUAGUCUGACUGCAGUGAACCUUUGAAGUCCUGAAACAAAGUAAAUGAAAAAUAGAGUCAGAGUCUCUCUUAUCACAUUGCGCAGACAAAUCAAAUGAAACAGGUUGUAGUUAAAAGCUGUGGCCUAGAGGUGACGUUUAAAACCAAUUCACCUGGACUAUUAGUGCGCUGAUUCCCACUUUCUCUGCUGUGUCCCCUGGGUCAUCCAUUUCCUUUGUUGCUGUGGAAAGAGCCAAAUACUGUACAGGUUCAUUAUUCCCACAUUGGGCAGUUUUCUUAGCACAAUCAUGCAUAUUGAGAUGGGUAAUGUUGGUUUGCUUCCCUUACUAGGACAACAGUAGUUUGUCGAUCAAUAUCCUGGCUGAAGGAAUUUCUAAUGUGACAUUACUAAAAUUAUCCAGAUAUAAUGGAAAAAUUAAUUAUCCUAAAUUACAAUGUGUUUGAGACAACUGUUUGUCAAAAUUAAGACAGUGUGUCCCAAUUCCAUACUACAUACUGACUACAGUUUGCACCAUAUACUAAUCUUUAUAGUUUACUGUAUUAGCACUUAGUACACGAGAAAUCAACACACUUUACAGUUGUAUACUGACUGAUACAGGAAAAAAGACUUUAAGCACCGUUAAACAUUAAUCGAACUGCAACUUUACAAUUAAACUUCCCAAAGAGACAGCAAAAUGUUUUUUCCAUAAUGUAAUUGUUAUUUUUUGUUUUCUAAGGUGUAUCACCACCAUCCAUUACGUUUUCAUUUCUUCCAACGCAUCCUGGCCCGAGCUUCGUCUAGCACAUCCUCCAGAAACACCACCUCACCGCUCCGGGUCUUCAUGCCCCGCACCAGGCCGAAGGGCACAUGCUGACACCUGCAACCAGUGAUGGAAAAUGUAUUUUUCCUGCUACCUGUCGGCCCAUGAAUGUCCCAUAGCGAGCAGGAUCUGGAACAACUGGUGAAAGUGAUUCGCUUGACUUUUAUCUGUCUUAAAAAGAAAAAGAAAUACAGUGAACUGAUAAAUAUGCCGCAACAAAGGGCAUGGAUAGAAUAUAAAAAGGAACAAGGUAGGAAUUCAAGAGUAGUAGUAGUAGUAGUUCAAGAGGACAAUCUGGAUCAAGCACUGAAUACAUCAUCAUAGACAUUCAAAUCAGUGACAGUGACUGUUGGUAAAACAAAUAUCCAAACAUCCAUUUUGCAUUGGUUUGUUUGGCAUCAUGAUGUUAUUCAUAAUGUUUGAGAGAAACCAUCACAAUUUUCUAAAGCCCAAGGUGUCAUCAUCAUAUGUGUUGUUUUUCCAAAGAUAUUUAGUUUACUAUAACAUAAGACAGAGAAAAGCAGCAAAUCCUCACAAUUUAGAGCCUGGAACUUGGGAAUGUUUGCGACUGUUUCCUUGAAAAAUGACUUAAAUGAUAAAUCAACUGUAAAUAGCUGACAAUUAAUUUUCUGUCGAUUGACUAAUCGACUAAUUGUUUCAGCUCUAUAGAGUGCAAAAAACUUUGUUUAAGAUUACUGAAGCUUCAUCAUUAAAUUCCAUUACGUUCUUAUGACUGCAAUUAAAUGUGCUUUUUCCA